ensembl:lncRNA
GUUUCUUCAAACUUUGGGAGAUGGAGGAGGUAGAUUGCAUAUUGUUUUCUUGGUUUUAUAACUUUUUUGUGUCGAGUUAGUUAGCAAGGCAAAUUUAAAUAAAUUACACUAGCAGGUAGUUAGUUAGCUAGCAGAGUGCAGUUUUCUCUGCCAGAAUGUCUAACGCUAAUGACAAUGUAGUGGAUUUUUUUGUUGAAGAACUCCUUUCAUUGCCCACAUCAGAUUCAAACUUCUGGGAAAAAUCCUCAUCGAUCAUUUAAUGGAUGAAGAUCUGUGUAUUCAAACUGCGUAACACAACAAGAAGCUAAGUCCCCUCCUGUUCCCUGAUUAAGGGGUGAUGACAACUCCACUGCACUACCAGUGUCAACUCUCUCCUGACAUGAACUGAAGCCAUGUCUCAUGUGCCCUCUCAUCCACUGGCACAUUGAAGGUUUCCUCUCCGAGCACUUCAAAUCCUGUGCUGCCCUCAGUGUGAGAGUUGAGCUCUUCUCCAACACCAUCCAUGCAUGAUGAGCCUGUCCUGCACUGAAGCCUAUGAAGACCUCAACCCCUGUUCUGCACUGAAGUCAAGCCUCUGAACACCUCAACUCAUGCCUCAUACCCUCAUUCAAUCACUGCUGUGAUCCCUUCCCAACACUGUGUCAAAGGGCUUUUAAUGAAGAGCUGCUCUCCAGAGAACAUCGCUAGCACAUCGUCCCUGGGCCAUCUCGCCAUACAGUCCCUAUGAAAAAUGCAGGGCCGGUGUUGUAGCCAGCAGAGAGCUCCCGCCUGUGCUGUCACUCGCCUUGCCCACAGGUCCACACCAAAGUAGCCUGUGUUUUCUUCCUUCCUCUGCAGCACUGGAACACACAUUAUCACAUCAUCAAUAUUCAUCCUUGUCUCUCUCCUGUCCCCUCUUCUCCAGGUCUGCUCACAUGUAUCCAUCAUCUCUCCCCAUUUUUACCUUCGCUUUCCACUUCCACAGUGCCUUCUACCGUCUUCCCUUCUCCCCUCCCGCUGUCUGCACCCUCCAUCUCUCUCCCCUCCAUCGCUCCUGCUCCUGCUCCUCUCCUCCAUCUCUCUCCCCUCCAUCGCUCCUGCUCCUCUCCUCUGAUCGAGGUGGGUUUGGACCUUAAUGAAUGUAUGCCUGGAGCUGCCGAUGCAAAAAAAAUUAUUCCUCUGCUUUUUUUUUUGCUAACAAAGGGCAUCUGAAGCCAUUUGUGAUGCAAAUGUGACUGAUGAUCUGGUUAGCGUGAUCCUUAGCGUGUUUGAAGGCAUUGUUAGUAUGUUCUGUGCUAUGCUGUGACAGAUUAGUGGCUUUGCACAUGUAGCCCUUGCCCCGUUAAAUCUGGUCUGUCAAAAUGGGCAAGCCAUGGAUUUACUGACUGACAAAAAUAAGUACAAGCGUACACACACGCACACACACAGAGCCACAUACAUACACACACAGAGAGCCAUAUACACACACACACACACACACACACACACACACACACACACACACGCUAGACGGUGGGCUGUGAGAAUCCACCUCUACUCUCCCUCUAGAGCCAGAGAGUUUGUAGAGCAGCUUGUUUUAUUGUAUUUCCAGCUUGUAACAAAUCCUACUAUCAUGAAAAAAUCCACACUGUCUCCCUAGAUUUAGUUGAAGCAUUUACCUGCCUCCAUUUUCUCCCAUAAAAGCUCUCCACUAACAAAAACAGCCGCAGAGUAUUUUUCUUUCCUCUUUAGCCCCAGACUCCUUUUCUCCUUCACAACCUUCCUCU